rnacentral:rRNA from 1 species
GAUGAACGCUGGCGGCGUGCCUAAUACAUGCAAGUCGAGCGGACAGACGCGGCGCUUGCUCCUUUCACGUUAGCGGAGCACGUGUGUGACACGCGUGGAUCCCCUCCCUAUAAGAGUGGGAUCACUACGGAACACCGGCGCUUAUACCGGAGAAUCUACUGAACCGCAUGGUUCAAUAGAGAAAGACGGUGUUGGUGUAUCUUAUCGAUGGAUCCGCGCCGGAUUAGCUAGUAGGUAAGGUAAAGGCUUACGAAGGCUAGGAUGCGUAGCCGAGCGGAGAGGGUGAUCGGCCACACGGGAACGGAGACACGGUCCAUACUCCUACGGGAGGCAGCAGUAGGGAAUCGGCCGCAAUGGGCGAAAGCUUGACGGAGCAACGCCGCGUGAGUUAUGAAGGUCUUCGGUGCGUAAAACUCGGUUAUUAGGGAAGAACAAAUGUGUAAUGAACUAUGCACGGCUUGACGGUACCUAAUCAGAAAGCCACGGCUAACUACGUG